AGAACGAACGCUGGCGGCAGGCUUAACACAUGCAAGUCGAGCGCUGUAGCAAUACAGAGCGGCGCACGGGUGAGUAACACGUGGGAACAUGCCUUUCGGUUCGGAAUAACUCAGGGAAACUUGUGCUAAUACCGGAUACGCCCUUACGGGGAAAGAUUUAUUGCCGAAAGAGUGGCCCGCGUUGGAUUAGCUAGUUGGCGGGGUAAAAGCCCACCAAGGCGACGAUCCAUAGCUGGUCUGAGAGGACGACCAGCCACACUGGGACUGAGACACGGCCCAGACUCCUACGGGAGGCAGCAGUGGGGAAUCUUGGACAAUGGGGGAAACCCUGAUCCAGCCAUGCCGCGUGAGUGAUGAAGGCCCUAGGGUUGUAAAACUCUUUCGCGCACGACGAUAAUGACGGUAGCGGGAGAAGAAGCCCCGGCUAACUUCGCGCCAGCAGCCGC
rnacentral:rRNA from 1 species